rnacentral:rRNA from 1 species
UCGAGCGCAGCAGCAGCUGAUCCCCUUCGGGGGUGACGCUUGUGGAGUGAGCGGCGGACGGGUGAGUAACACGUGGGCAACCUGCCUGUAAGACUGGGAUAACCCCGGGAAACCGGGGCUAAUACCGGAUAAUACUUUCUUUUGCAUAAAGGAAAGUUGAAAGGCGGCUUCGGCUGUCACUUACAGAUGGGCCCGCGGCGCAUUAGCUAGUUGGUGAGGUAACGGCUCACCAAGGCGACGAUGCGUAGCCGACCUGAGAGGGUGAUCGGCCACACUGGGACUGAGACACGGCCCAGACUCCUACGGGAGGCAGCAGUAGGGAAUCUUCCGCAAUGGACGAAAGUCUGACGGAGCAACGCCGCGUGAGUGAUGAAGGUUUUCGGAUCGUAAAACUCUGUUGUUAGGGAAGAACAAGUUGGAUAGUAACUGACCCAACCUUGACGGUACCUAACCAGAAAGCCACGGCUAACUACGUGCCAGCAGCCGCGGUAAUACGUAGGUGGCAAGCGUUGUCCGGAAUUAUUGGGCGUAAAGCGCUCGCAGGCGGUCCUUUAAGUCUGAUGUGAAAUCUCGCGGCUCAACCGCGAACGGUCAUU